GAGAGCAACAGAGGGGCGAGGAAAAUCAGCUAUGAGGAAGUUGUGGCUUCAUUUGAAAAAGGAAAAUUGUUGACUGAACUGUAAAUGGAUACUGUAAGCGAACUGAAAGUUUCCUGCGUGUGGACUUUCCCCUCUGUGAUAACACGAUAGGCGGUGGCGAUAAGGGAUUUGCUCGUAUCGAUUACGACGACGCAGGACAAGAUUCUUCUUUUGCAACAGGCACCAAAUCUCGUAGAUCAAUAAACUUUGGUCAAGACUCCAUCAAAACAUCCCAGCCAUUUGCUGCAGCAAAGAGGUUACCAUGGUGACCCCCACACUCCGGGGACAUAUGUAACAAAUGUGGCCGGAGGGCUGGCAUGCACGGCUGUCCAGGUGACGGCCACCGUGGAGACAGAGGCCCUGACCGGUCUUGGCCCACUCUCUUACACCGACUGUGCCAACUUACCGUCAACCGGACACUAAACGGCGGCGACACGCAACGGCGCCGUCCUCCGCCGCUGCUGACCGCGGGCGCACUUGUGUUCAAACCUAAGAAAAAGAUGAACGAAAAGGGUGAACGGCCUAUUUGAGGCGAGGAGACUGGAAAUCAGAUUUGCCACUCUCAGAUAUAACCACAUCAGUUAAAAGACUGUUGAAAUAUCUGACCCGGCAUCAGUGGUGUAGCGGAGGGGGUGUUUUUUUUUUUUGUUUUUUUUCCCUUUGCUGGUGGGCUAUAAGCAACGCUGAGGAGAGAUUUGCAGAGACAGCCCAUAACAGCUCCCUUGGAACCAAUGACUCAGAUAUGCAGAUGUGUUUACUUCCCUUCUGUUUCCCACCUCAACCAGCACACAAAAGGCAGGGGGAAUGAAAGUGCCUGAUAAUGUCUUUAAGUGUUUCAUUUAUAUAUUUAUAUGCCGUUAUAAAGAACUCAUUUUUUACAAAAACUUAGACAAGCACUUCAAAUGGGCUCUUUGCCUCUUCCCUCUAUUCCCUCCCUCCCUUCUCAGGGUAUUCAUCUUUUGUCUAAUGCGCAGCACUGCUCUCUGUUAGUUUCUUUCUGACACCAUGCCAGCAGAGUCAUCUGCAAAGGGACUCAUGUAGGGAUUAAAACCCAUCAACAGCUCCCCUUUAACAGAGAGGUAGAAAAAAAAAUGUCGAAAAAUAAAAUACAAAAAAAAAAUAUGCAUAUAUAUAAUAAAUAAAAUAAAAUAAAAUAAAAAAAACUCCAGACAGUUUGGAGAAAACUUGCAGAAAGAGAAUGCAGAUUGUCACCUGACCCUGAGGCAAGGCAGCCCUAAAUAUAAUAAAGAGAAGACAACAGAAGAAGACGAGGCGACACGACACGGGUAAUGUGUUUUCUCUGCUGGUGUCGUCUGGCAGAUCUCGGAUGAUUGAGUGCUGAUGCCUGCCUGGGCCGCUUCAGAGAAGAUCGUCUACCCCCCUCCCUCAGCUCGCGCACACAUGCACACACGUGCGCAGCCUUUCCCGUGACACACAUGUGCACGCACACACGCUCAGAUUUCCUGUCGUCGAAGUGACAAAAACAUCAAAGCGUAUUAACUGUCAUCAUCUCAGCAUCUCUUCAUCUCUCUUUUUGGUCGAGGGAAUAUUUCAAGGUAACGCUUUAUUAUUGUGGCUUCUGUGCGUGUGUGUGUGUGUGUGUGCGUGCGCCUGUACUUGCGUGUGGUUUUCUCCACGGUGGAUGUGUGUCUUAAUUAUAACAGGGUUUAGUGAAUUAGGCCAGGAUGUGUAAUAGACUCAAAUUUGCAUAAUCUCCGUUGAAUAAACCUCGGUGACAAACAUGCGAGCAGAAAAUCAUACCUACUUACUGUAACUGCGUGACUUCAACAAAAAAAAAAGAAAAAAAAUUAAAAACUGUAGAAAGGCGUGCUCGUGACAGUAAUCUAUAGUGUGUACUUACUUAGCCCGUAUUAAUCUCUGUACAUUUUUAUAAUCACCGCGCAUUGUGAAAUUGUCGGCGGCAGAUACGGACAAACAGGUGCUGGAUAUGGAGGAAGUUGAUUGGCCUGAUUCCAUGAUCCAUUUUCCCAAGCCUUCCACACCCCUGCAGCUGUCCUCCAGAAUAUGAGAACCAUGUGUGUGCAUGCAUCCGUGUGUGUGUGUGUGUGUAUUUGCAGCGCAUGCUUGUGGUUAUGACAAAUUCACUCCUCGUUGGUUGCCAAUAAACAAGACAAUGAUCUUCAUUGACAAAGACGAAUAAAAAACGAAAUUCUGGACAAGCAAAUAAAAGUAA